rnacentral:rRNA from 1 species
UACGGGGGGAGCAAGCGUUGUUCGGAUUUACUGGGCGUAAAGGGCGCGUAGGCGGUCAGCACAAGUCAGUGUUGAAAUCUCCGGGCUUAACUCGGAAAGGUCAACUGAUACUGUGCGACUAGAGUGCAGAAGGGGCAACUGGAAUUCUCGGUGUAGCGGUGAAAUGCGUAGGUAUCGAGAGGAACACCUGCGGCGAAGGCGGGUUGCUGGGCUGACACUGACGCUGAUGCGCGAAAGCCAGGGGAGCAAACGGG